CCACCUACGGGGGGCAGCAGUGAGGAAUAUUGGUCAAUGGACGGAAGCCUGAACCAGCCAAGUCGCGUGAGGGAAGAAGGCCCUGCGGGUCGCAGACCUCUUUGGACGGGGAGCAAGGCCGCCGACGUGACGGCGGAAGGAGAGGACCCGUAGAACAAGCAUCGGCUAGCUCCGUGCCAGCAGCCGCGGUAAUACGGAGGAUGCGGGCGUUAUCCGGAUUUAUUGGGUUUAAAGGGUGCGCAGGCGGCACGGCAAGCCGGGGGUGAA
rnacentral:rRNA from 1 species